GGGUAACGUGGGGCAAAAAGCCCUUCGGGGUAAAAGGCCUUUCUUAAUUUUUGUGCGAAUGGCUUAUUGGAUGAUUCAAAUUAAGACUUCCUGAGAUAGCUUACUUCCGUUCUUUUAAUGCACAUUGAGCUUGAUGUAGUAGCUUUUCAAUUUAUCGUCACAGAUCACUUUGAAUUUUUCUACCCAUCUCACUAUAAGAAAAUGUUAAGAAAUUACCAGAGAAAAACACAAGGCUCGUAUGGUCAACAUUCUUGACAGGAGAUUUAAAAGCUAUCGCUGAUGGGAUGCCACUUAACAAUGUCUCCGAAAAAAUUACAUUUAUAAUUAUUAAAUAUUUCACUUAUACUUUUUAAA